rnacentral:rRNA from 1 species
UAAGUCGGUGGUGAAAGCCCAUCGGCUCAACCGUGGAAUUGCCUCCGAUACUGCGGAACUUGAGGGAGGUAGGGGUGUGUGGAACUUCCGGUGGAGCGGUGAAAUGUGUUGAUAUCGGAAGGAACGCCUGUGGCGAAAGCGACACACUGGAUCUCUUCUGACGCUGAGGCGCGAAAGCUAGGGUAGCGAACGGGAUUAGAUACCCCGGUAGUCCUAGCCGUAAACGAUGGGCACUGGGUAGGAAGCGUGCCGAUGCGCCUCCUGCCGGAGCGAAAGCGUUAAGUGCCCCGCCUGGGGAGUAUAGUCGCAAGGCUGAAACUCAAAGGAAUUGACGGGGGCUCACACCAGCGGUGGAGCAUGUGGCCUUAAUUCGAGGCUACGCGAAGAACCUUAUCCUGGGUUUGACAUGUACGGAUUAGCUCCCCGAAAGGGGAGUGACGCUCUCUGAGUGGAACGUGCACAGGUGCUGCAUGGCUGUCGUCAGCUCGUGUUGUGAGAUGUCGGGUUAAGUCCCUUAACGAGCGAAACCCUUGUCCCUAGUUACCAGCGGGUCAUGCCGGGGACUCUAGGGAGACUGCCGGUGUUAAGCCGGAGGAAGGUGGGGAUGACGUCAAGUCCUCAUGGCCUUUAUGCCCAGGGCUGCACACGUGCUACAAUGGGAGGUACAAAGGGCCGCGAACCCGCGAGGGUAAGCUAAUCCCAAAAAACUUCCCCCAGUUCGGAUUG